rnacentral:rRNA from 1 species
GACGAACGCUGGCGGCGUGCCUAAUACAUGCAAGUCGAGCGGACCGGAUUGGGGCUUGCCUUGAUUCGGUCAGCGGCGGACGGGUGAGUAACACGUGGGCAACCUGCCCGCAAGACCGGGAUAACUCCUGGAAACCGGAGCUAAUACCGGAUAACACCGAAGACCGCAUGUUCUUCGGUUGAAAGACGCCCUUUGGGCUGUCACUUGCGGAUGUGCCCUCUGCGCAUUAGCUAGUUGGUGAGGUAACGGCUCAACAAGUCGACGAUGCGUAGCCGGCCUGGGAGGGUGAACGGCCACACUGGGACGGAGAAACGGCCCAGACUCCUACGGGAGGCAGCAGUAGGGAAUCUUCCGAAAUGGGCGAAAGCCUGACGGAGCGACGCCGCGUGAGCGAAGAAGGCCUUCGGGUCGUAAAGCUCUGUUGGGAGGGAAGAAGGAGCGUCGUUCGAAGAGGGCGGCGCGGUGACGGUACCUAACGAGAAAGCCACGGCUAACUACGUG